rnacentral:sRNA from 1 species
UAGAAUUUAAGACCUCGAUUUCACUUUGC